GACGAACGCUGGCGGCGUGCUUAACACAUGCAAGUCGAACGGAAAGGCCUUUUCGGAGGUACUCGAGUGGCGAACGGGUGAGUAACACGUGGGUGAUCUGCCCUGCACUCUGGGAUAAGCCUGGGAAACUGGGUCUAAUACCGGAUAGGACCGCACUUUAGAGUGUGUGGUGGAAAGUUUUUUCGGUGUAGGAUGAGCCCGCGGCCUAUCAGCUUGUUGGUGGGGUAAUGGCCUACCAAGGCGGCGACGGGUAGCCGGACUGAGAGGUUGGUCGGCCACAUUGGGACUGAGAGACGGCCCAGACUCCUACGGGAGGCAGCAGUGGGGAAUAUUGCACAAUGGGCGCAAGCCUGAUGCAGCGACGCCGCGUGGGGGAUGACGGCCUUCGGGUUGUAAACUCCUUUCGCCAGGGACGAAGCGUUUUGUGACGGUACCUGGAGAAGAAGCACCGGCUAACUACGUG
rnacentral:rRNA from 1 species